rnacentral:rRNA from 1 species
CGGGACCUGGAGACAGGUGCUGCAUGGCUGUCGUCAGCUCGUGUCGUGAGAUGUUGGGGUUAAGUCCCGUAACGAGGCGCAACCCNUGUCCUAGUGCCAGCGGUCAGGCGGGAACUUAGGGAGACUGCCGGUGACAAACCGGAGGAAGGUGGGGAGACGUCAAGUCAUCAUGGCCCUUAUGGCAGGGCUACACACGUGCUACAAUGGCCAGUACAGAGGGUUGCCAACCCGCGAGGGGGAGCUAAUCCCAGAAAGCUGGUCGUAGUGCGCAGUCUGCAACUCGACUGCGUGAAGUCGGAUCGCUAAUUCGCAAUCAAAGUGUCG